GAUGAACGCUGGCGGCGUGCCUAAUACAUGCAAGUCGAGCGAAUGGAUUAAGAGCUUGCUCUUAUGAAGUUAGCGGCGGACGGGUGAGUAACACGUGGGUAACCUGCCCAUAAGACUGGGAUAACUCCGGGAAACCGGGGCUAAUACCGGAUAACAUUUUGAACCGCAUGGUUCGAAAUUGAAAGGCGGCUUCGGCUGUCACUUAUGGAUGGACCCGCGUCGCAUUAGCUAGUUGGUGAGGUAACGGCUCACCAAGGCAACGAUGCGUAGCCGACCUGAGAGGGUGAUCGGCCACACUGGGAAUGAGACACGGCCCAGACUCCUACGGGAGGCAGCAGUAGGGAAUCGUCCGCAAUGGACGAAAGUCUGACGGAGCAACGCCGUGUGAGUGAUGAAGGCUUUCGGGUCGUAAAACUCUGUUGUUAGGGAAGAACAAGUGCUAGUUGAAUAAGCUGGCACCUUGACGGUACCUAACCAGAAAGCCACGGCUAACUACGUGCCAGCCGCCGCAGUAA
rnacentral:rRNA from 1 species